GCCCUUCCCCUGGCCCCUUCUUGCAGACAUCCUCGCCCGCCCCUUUGCCCUCCCAUACUUUUUUUUCUGCCAGAAGUCCAGGUGGAGCUUAGAGUCCCCACUCCGUGAGGUCUACCCCCACAGCAAGCCCUCAUUCGUUCCCUCUGUUCCCGAGGAUCUGUGGAGUCCCUCUAAGAGCCCACCUGAGUGUGGUGUUGCUGAGACCCACUUACUUGUCCUGCUCCCUGGGCUGGAAGCAUCUGAGGGCAGUGAUGGGGCCCCAGGGGAGGCAUCAGAGCCCUGCAGCCCUUGCUGAUAUCUAGAAACCCAAGAGUACAGAGCAGGCAAUCAUUGCAUGCCUCUGUGAUAAGGCUCCUCCGUUCCCAUACGCUGCUCCCCACUCCCCGGGACCAGGGAUACAGAGAGAUCAGGGCUCUUCGCCUGGUGGACACAUUCAGGACCAAGCCUGAGCUGCCCCCACCCUCCCCUGGCCUCUGGCAGAGCUUCCGGCCAGGCCGAGUGGCCAAAAGAACCAGCUCCCGUUAACAAGCCGGGUGCUGACAGCUGGGUCCUGGAGAACAAGGAGCCCUUUGAAGGUACAGCGCCGGGCGGGCCGCACAUUCAGGACAUGGCCUGGGAGCCCAAACUGACCCCGACGAAUUCUCAGAUGACCGAAGAAGCACUGCCCUCUGCGCUCCUGGCAUGGCUUCUUGGCUCUACUUCGAAGAUGAGCAGCAGCUCUGGCUUCUCCAAGUACCUCUCCAAGUACUCCCGUGGCAGGAGGCCAGGACUGGGUGCGCACACCUCUCACUGCGUCCGGCCUCGUGACGUGUCCAGCAGUGGCCUCGGUCAUCACUCUGUGGACAACAGCGUGGGCCUUCCAUCCAUCCCCCAUCGGGAGGCUCUACCACAGGGCCCACGUGGGUCUCCCAGCCCUUGAGGAUGGCUCCUCCACGCCCUCGGGAUGACCGCCCAGCUCUGGCUGGAGGCCCAAGGCCCUGCUGCCUGAGCCCGAGGUCUCCUCCCAGCCUCAGGGCCCGUCUCCUGACCACCUGCAUAGCUUGGCCUCUCUGCUGCCUCCCAAACCUCCUCCUGCUCUGGCUCACUGGUGUCUACCCCUGGCAGUGAGAGCUGUUCUCUCCUCCAGACCCCCCAGGACUGUACAGCCCAUGCCAGGGACUUUUAUGGAUGCGCCCACUGCUCUCUGGACACGGCUGCUGAGGAACAGAAGCUGGGGGUGAGUCGGCUCUGACUCCCAGGGCCCCGCAUGGCCUGGCCGAAGGCAGUGUCCACUAGAGGUUGGCAGAGAGCAUGCAUUCAAGAAGUCUGCUUCUUGGAAGGCAGCCUGACCACACCCCAGGAGCAGAGAGACGGCCGACUUUGAGGGCAGAUGACCCUGCACAGCCUUGGCCUCAGUGUCCUCAUCUGUGGAAUGGGGAUCCUAGCACCCAUUUUCCCCCCCAUUUUAGCCAUGCUUCUAGGUAUGUAUCUUACUGACAUUUUAACUUGCAUUUUUCUCGUAAGGAAUGAAGUUUGGAGAUCCUUUUUGUCACCUUGA